CAGCUAGAAGUUUGAUCCUGGCUCAGGAUGAACGCUGGCGGCGUGCCUAAUACAUGCAAGUCGAGCGAACCACCUUGGUGGUGAGCGGCGGACGGGUGAGUAACACGUAGGUAACCUGCCCAUAAGAUGGGGACAACCACCGGAAACGGUGGCUAAUACCGAAUAAAAUUUUCUCUCGCAUGAGAGGGAAUUGAAAGGCGGCGCAAGCUGCCGCUUAUGGAUGGACCUGCGGUGCAUUAGCUAGUUGGUGAGGUAACGGCUCACCAAGGCAACGAUGCAUAGCCGACCUGAGAGGGUGAACGGCCACACUGGGACUGAGACACGGCCCAGACUCCUACGGGAGGCAGCAGUAGGGAAUCUUCCGCAAUGGACGAAAGUCUGACGGAGCAACGCCGCGUGAACGAUGAAGGUUUUCGGAUCGUAAAGUUCUGUUGUUAGGGAAGAACAAACUUCGUUUGAAUAAGGCGGAGUCAUGACGGUACCUAACGAGAAAGCCACGGCUAACUACGUGCC
rnacentral:rRNA from 1 species